UUUCCAACGGCACCUAUCAAAUACACGGUAAUAAAAACAGUAGUUCUACUAAAUGUACUGUGCUUGCUGGUUAGUAAAAGAAAAAACAACAACACUUACCUUUCACUAUUUGAGUAACCUUUGUUCUGCCAUUUGCGUAUUGGCGAGCGAUCUCCGAAUCCGGGAACAUCCUUCACGGAUUUGUUGUAGACAUCCGCAAAUGAGAACGGGAUGUUGCUUCCAGCUAUCAGCAUAGCCAUCUUUGUCUCAGCAUAAGUUACACCAUCGGGUCUCCAUUUUGCGAGGUGGCCCAUAAUACUGGGUUGUGAACGAUGCUGCGCUGCAGACGCUUUGUGCUUCGCCGACCGUUAAUGGCUGAAUAUCCGUUCGGCCGCCGUGUUCAAUGGAGAAGUCUGUUCUAAAAAAUGUACAGGCAACAUACCCCUUCCCCUUCGAACUCUCCUGGAUAAACUGAAAUUCUUGUUUCCAAUCAUUCUGGAACUUGCAAGCGUAUUUCUUCAUUUUGUCCGACGACGGUGUAAUAUAUUGGGUUGGAGUCAAUAACCAGGCGGUGUGAUGAAGUUACGUCUCUUUAUUGUGGGCUUCAGAACAAAUGUAGGAUAUAUUUACAUUAUAUUCAAUGUACAGAUGGCAGUAUUGUCCUGUUUAAGAGGGUCACAACAUUGAGUCAGGUCUGACUCAAUGAUGGGGGGCAUGGCCUCCAGCUCCGCUUGAAUUUCGGGAGAAAAUUUGUCCCGGGAGGUUUUCGGGAGGCGCUGAAUUUCGGGAGUCUCCCGGAAAAUCCGGGAGGGUUGGCAAGUAUGGGUUUGGGAAUGCCAUAGGAUGUAGCAAUCAGCGUCUCGAUGCCCGGCAAGGACCAGGGUAGUGCUGCCGGGGCUGGAGUAGCAGGUGGUAAGGUGUAUGGAACAUACUGUCCAGCUGGAGGAGGUGCACCAGUUGAAACUGGUGGUUGUGGUACAGAAGUUUGCAUGGUUUGUGGCACUGCGGCUGCAUGUGUCAUUGUUGAUGCAUAACUAGAUGUGGGAAAGACUGGCAUAUGUUGACUUGUGGAAGACACAGAUGCAGGCAAGGUGACAGACAGGACCAAUAGUGGGGGCUACUAAAGUCGAGACACAAGUUUGUGCAUCUUGGACAGGAAUGGGAAUCGUCAAUGGGUGUGUCAUUGGCAUAGCGGCAGCAGGUUUCAUAUGAGCCGUUGAUGGGAACUGAACCAUGUCGGCAGAGGGCGGAGCUGACGUUGACAUUGCAUCAUCUUCAGACUCCGACAGGAAAGACUUGACAAUAUAGGCAAUGUGUAAGUCUUUUUCCAGUUUCUUUAGGCGUCCACGCCGUUCCAUGUCCUUUGCCAUACUCUCCUUGGCAAGUAGGUCAGCGAGCUCCAAACAUUUAAUUCGCUCCUCCAGGGCAGCGGUUUGAACAUCAGGAAUAUUUUUGAGCAGUUGAAGCCCAUGCGGUCGUCGAGAGGAUCGACGUGAUGAAGCAGAGAACUGGUACUCUGACGCACUCCUAGCUCUGGUUGGCCUUGCUUCACCGUGUUGUCCUACUGGUAGUGAGGAGAUUUGGGCAGCAGGUAGUUGAGAGGGAAGGAGGGUGACGUCGUAAGGGGCCAAAUGCUGUGGUAGUCGAAUGUCUCUCUUUGGCCUGACAGAGGGCUGGUGAUCAACAGGUGAUGAUGACUCUCAUGGCGGAACUAUAUUCGGCUCGAAGGACCAAUGUUAGGCAGGGAUAGUAGUUCUUUUUAGAGUUGGGACACAAUGGACAGAUUCCGGCCAGAGAAUCCUUAAAUCAUUUUUAUUGCUGAAAGGUGUGUGUGUGUGUGUGUGUGUGUGUGUGUGUGUGUGUGUGUGUGUGUGUGUGUGUGUGUGUGUGUGUGUGUGUGUGUGUGUGUGUGUGUGUGUGUGUGUGUGUGUGUGUGUGUGUGUGUGUGUGUGUGUGUGUGUGUGUGUGUGUGUGUGUGUGUGUGUGUGUGUGUGUGUGUGUGUGUGUGUGUGUGUGUGUGUGUGUGUGUGUGUGUGUGUGUGUGUGUGUGUGUGUGUGUGUGUGUGUGUGUGUGUGUGUGUGUGUUCUAAACAAAUAGAGAAAAGAGGAAAAAUUACAAUCCAAUUAUAUACUUACAUUAGAUAGAUAUUACUUUAUUUAUUCCGUCAGGAGAGUUCCUUCAGGAAAAUUACAAUUUUCAGCACAAUCCCAUUCAAGAUCAGACAAACAUUACAGGGAGACAGAACACAAUAAUAUGUAGCAAUACAUGAAUGUGCAUACAUUAUAUCAGUGGUUCUCAACCUUUUUUCAGUGACUUAACCCCUGUGAGCUCUUUUUUCAAUUCAAGUACCCCCUAAUCAGAGCAAAUAAUUUUUGGUUGAAAAAAAAGAUACAUAAGUAAAAUACAGCACUAUGGAGCGGCUGACUUGGUGGUGCAGGGAAAACAACCUGGUCCUUAACACCACCAAGACGAAGGAGCUGAUCAUGGAUUUCCGGAAGGAAAAAAACAAUAAACAUCCGACCAUUCUACAUCAAUGGGGACUAUGUGGAAAGGGUCUCUAACUUCAGGUUCCUGGGCAUCCAGAUCGAGGAAGAUCUGUCGUGGAGUAUGAACACCUCAGUGACUAUCAAAAAGGCACAGCAAAGACUUUACUUUCUGAGAUUCCUCAAGAAGAACAAUCUGUCUCAAAAACUGCUUGUGUCCUUCUAUCGCUGCUCAACAGAGAGUGUGCUGACAUACUGCAUGUGUGUAUGGUAUGCCAGCUGCACGGUGGCAGAGAGGAAUGCACUUCAGAGGGUCGUAAAAUCUGCCAUGAAGAUCACUGGCUGCUCUCUUCCCUCCCUAGAUGAACUGUACAGUGCCAGGUGCCUCAAAAAGGCCCAAAACAUAAAGGACCCAUCUCACCCUGGACAUAAACUUUUUGAACUGAUGCCCUCAGGCAGGGGAUACAGGACAAUAAAAUGCCGGACAAACCGUUUUAAAAACACUUUUUACCCGAGAGCAAUAGUAUCACUGAACACAAGAUAAUAAGGACUGUGCACGUGAGCUGUAUGCUUGGUAUUUUUAUGUAUUUUUAUCUUUUUAUCUAUGUUCUUCUGGUUUUAAGUAUGAUUUUGCACUGAAUUAGUUUGCAUACUAUUUCGUUUUACAAAUGUACAAUGACAAAAAAGAUCUAUUCUAUUCUAUGUCAGUUUCUGAUUUAUUAAAUUGUAUAAAAGUGCAAAAUAUUG